CGGAACGGGUGAGUAACACGUGGGUGACCUGCCCUUAGCUCUGGGAUAAGCCUGGGAAACUGGGUCUAAUACCGGAUAUGACUCCAUGACGCAUGUUGUGGGGUGGAAAGCCUUGUGCGGCUAGGGAUGGGCCCGCGGCCUAUCAGCUUGUUGGUGGGGUGAUGGCCUACCAAGGCGACGACGGGUAGCCGGCCUGAGAGGGCGACCGGCCACACUGGGACUGAGACACGGCCCAG
rnacentral:rRNA from 1 species